rnacentral:lncRNA from 1 species
UAGAAAUGCAUGGCUCCAGCAGUGGCUGCUGUCCUGUCCUGCUUGGCUCAGGGGGGCUGCACUGCUGCAGUAGGCAUGGGACAGACACUGUAUUCCAGUCGUUCCUUGAAGGCUUGAAUGCAUCAGAUUUGGGGUGGCGGGUGGGAGUGGGGGGACAGUGUCCUGUUUUGUUUGGGAAACAUACAAGAGCCACUAUUCUUUCUGAGUGAUUCUAGGUCACUGCUCCUCGAGUCACCAGAACAGACCGUUGUAUGAAUAAGAAUGACGUCUGCGAGCACCCGCCGUGCUCCACUGAUUGUAUGGGAUGCUCCUGGGAUUGGGCCAAGAGGUUCAACUCCAGCACCAGAGGGAGUAGGAUGCCAGGAGAGGCCAGCUUUGCAAACUCCCAACCCCCCGGGUUCUCAGUGGCAGAAGACUGAGUGUACAGGGACCAAGGUGGCUUGUGGUUGAGCUGAGACCACUGCACUUGGAGCAUCUGUAGCUCCAGACCCCUUCGCUUUCCUGACUCUACGGAUGAGGUGAUUCACGCUUGCUUCCUAUUCUGUCUUCAUGGAGUCAAGGAUGCUCUUAGCACCCGUAUUAGUCUAUUCUGGCUCUGAGAAGAGCAUGCUGUAGACUGGGUGGCUUCUAAACAACAGACCUUGAUCUCUUGGCUGUGAAGGCUGACAAGUUCAAGAUCAAGAGAUUCAGUGUCUCACAAAGGCCAGCUUCCGAUGACUUCUUCUCAUUGUGUCCUCCCAUGCCCGAGGGACGGAGUCUUCGGGUCUCAUUCACAAGGGCACUAUCCCCAGGGUCUAGCCAGCUCCCAAAGGUCUGCUUCCUGAUCCUAUCACACCAUGGACCAGGAUUGCAACCUUUGAUUGGAGGGUGGGGCAUAAAUAUCCAGUCACUGACAACACCCUUCCAGAGCCCUUAGGAUUCAAAAUGAUAAGUGAAUUCUCCAUUCUGGAACUGAC